rnacentral:piRNA from 1 species
UCAAACACAAGGAGACGUGCAUAAUAAGUGC